UACGUAGGGUGCAAGCGUUGUCCGGAAUUAUUGGGCGUAAAGAGCUUGUAGGCGGUUUGUCGCGUCUGCUGUGAAAUUUCGGGGCUCAACCCCGAACUUGCAGUGGGUACGGGCAGACUAGAGUGUGGUAGGGGAGACCGGAAUUCCUGGUGUAGCGGUGAAAUGCGCAGAUAUCAGGAGGAACACCGAUGGCGAAGGCAGUUCUCUGGGCCGUAACUGACGCUGAGGAGCGAAAGCGUGGGGAGCGAACAGG
rnacentral:rRNA from 1 species